GUGGAUACUUUGAUAUUAUAUUGUGAUUAUUACAUCGAUGAUCAUUACUUUUUGGCUUGUUCAUUAAAAAUUAAUUACUCAUCUCUCUCUCUCUCUCUCUUUCUCGUGAUCCUGCCAAAAAAACAUUACUUAUCAGAAUAAAAAUACUUUAAGAGUAAAUCAAUUCUUAAAGUAAUUAAUAUGUCUUAUCAAAAUAAAUACUUUAAGGGUUUAACCUUAAUUGUGUAUCCUUGUGAAUCACAAUACUUCAAAAUAGAGAAGUUUUAGAAUUGAAGAGGAGAAAAUCCAUGGCUGAGAAAUUUAUGGGGGUGAUCAUGAUGGGGUUGGUUUUUCUUAUUCCCAUUGAAGUGCAAGCUGAUGAUGAGUCUUUCCAUCAUUCCUCUAAAGCACUGGAUGCCAUAUAUAUUCCGAAUAUCAAUUAUUAUUGCAUUACCAGAAGAAUUGAAAAUUGUGAUCAUUUUCAUCUGAGAAGAUGGUGGCUACGAAUAUUUCGAAACCUUGAUUAUGAAAUUUGCAUACUUGAGAGUUUUGAAGCCUGCAUGAUCAAUUUUCCUAUUUUUGAUGACCCAGCUUAUCGUGCCACUGCAUGGUGCUUACAUACCUGCCAGCAAACAACAAAUAUAAUGAGACGCAAGCAUAUAGCUUGUUUAUUGGAUUGCUAUAGAAAGCAUAUCAAGCAGCACUGAGUUGCUCAACUGUAAGACGAUGGAAUUUAUGAAGAAGUUGAUGAUUGUGGAGGACCUAGCCAGGCUGGUAUUUGAGGAGUUAGAUCCUAACUUGUGGCAUUACAUAUGGUUUGAGUUUAAAGGCUUAAUGAGUUCAUAAAGGUUUUGUUUUUGGUGUAAUAUAUCCAUUGUCGUACGGACAUGUUGAAUUGGUUAUCUGCAAGCCUCAAUGAAUCAGACUAUUAGACUAGAUAUAUUUAUAAGUUUUGGAGACAUUUAUUUCUGUUGUAUUGUUUUGAGAUAUUCUCCUGAGAUUUGGUUUUGGAUUUAGAUGCUUAAUGGUUUAUUUCUUUGUUAUUUAAGUUAUGUUGGAAGACUAGUACUUUGCUAUGAAUAUUUACUAUAUUAUGGUUAAUUAGAAUUAUCUA